GACGAACGCUGGCGGCGUGCUUAACACAUGCAAGUCGAACGAAGUGGCGAACGGGUGAGUAACGCGUAAUCAACCUGCCCUUCAGAGGGGGACAACAGUUGGAAACGACUGCUAAUACCGCAUACUGAAGGAGGGGUUUGCGUCGGAUUAGCUAGUUGGAGGGGUAACGGCCUACCAAGGCGAUGAUCAGUAGCCGGGCUGGGAGGGUGAACGGGCAAAUUUGGACUGGGACACGGCCCAGACUCCUACGGGAGGCAGCAGUGGGGAAUCUUCCGCAAUGGACGAAAGUCUGACUGAGCAACGCCGCGGGAGUGACGACGGCCUUCGGGUUUUAAAGCUCUGUUAAUCGGGACGCGGUACCGGAAUAGAAAGCCACGGCUAACUACGUGCCAGCAGCCGCGGUAAUAC
rnacentral:rRNA from 1 species